rnacentral:rRNA from 1 species
AAUGCGAUAAGUAAUGUGAAUUGCAGAAUUCAGUGAAUCAUCGAAUCUUUGAACGCACAUUGCGCCCGCCAGCAUUCUGGCGGGCAUGCCUGUUCGAGCGUCAUUUC